rnacentral:rRNA from 1 species
GACGAACGCUGGCGGCGUGCUUAACACAUGCAAGUGGAGCGACGAACCAGGGGCUUGCCCUUGGGGCAGAGCCGCGAACGGGUGAGUAACACGUGGGUUACCUGCCCCGAUGACCGGGACAACCCGAGGAAACUCGGGCUAAUACCGGAUGUGGUCUACGGACGAAAGGAAGCUUCGGCCUCCGCAUCGGGGAUGGGGCCCGCGGCGCAUUAGCUUGUUGGUGGGGUAACGGCCUACCAAGGCGACGAUGCGUAGCUGGUCUGAGAGGACGAUCAGCCACACUGGGACUGAGACACGGCCCAGACUCCUACGGGAGGCAGCAGUGGGGAAUCUUGCGCAAUGCGCGAAAGCGUGACGCAGCAACGCCGCGUGAGGGAAGACGGCCU